rnacentral:rRNA from 1 species
CGCUGGCGGUAGGCUAACNAUGCAGUCGUGCGAGAAAGUAUCUUCGGAUAUGAGUAGAGCGGCGGACGGGUGAGUAACGCGUAGGAAUCUACCUAGUAGAAGGGGAUAGCCCGGGGAAACUCGGAUUAAUACCGUAUACCUCCUUCGGGAGAAAGAAGGCCUCUCUUUGAAGCUUUCGCUAUUAGAUGAGCCUGCGUAAGAUUAGCUUGUUGGUGAGGUAAAGGCUCACCAAGGCUACGAUCUUUAGCUGGUCUGAGAGGACGAUCAGCCACAUUGGGACUGAGACACGGCCCAGACUCCUACGGGAGGCAGCAGUGGGGAAUAUUGGACAAUGGGCGCAAGCCUGAUCCAGCCAUACCGCGUGUGUGAAGAAGGCCUUCGGGUUGUAAAGCACUUUAAGCAGGGAGAAAAAGUUAUAGGUUAAUACCCUAUGACCCUGAUGUUACCUGCAGAAUAAGCACCGGCUAAUUCCGUGCCAGCAGCCGCGGUAAUACGGAAGGUGCAAGCGUUAAUCGGAAUUACUGGGCGUAAAGCGCGCGUAGUGGUUUGUUAAGUUGGAUG